ensembl:lncRNA
CUCCAAUUUUGAUGUGAAUACCCUCAAAUUAAAGCCCAGAGUGUGAUAUAUAACUGUUUAUAACUGUAACAUGAAUACAUUUCGGUCAACAGCUAAAAUAAUAAAAAUUGUGCCUGUGUCCAAAUACAGACCUAACUGUAUCCCAUGUCAUCUGAAGUCAUACUACAGAAAUUUAAUUCAUUAAUAUUCCCCUCCGAAUGAAGGACUGUAACAGGGAAUUGACUGCAUGUGACCAUCAGUGAUGUUUGGUCAUGUGACAUGUAAGAACCAAUGGCGUUUGUUCUAAAUGUAGCUGAAGUGCCUGUGUUAUAGUCAGUUUCAAAAAUGUCCGUCUUCAAGAAUAUGCAGUAUAAGUCAUAUAAGCUACUUUUGUAGUGCUUCUUUUGUUGUUUUAUACAGAAAAUGCUUGGCAGCUUCAUUCCUCUUUCAUUUCUUUUCUAAUAAAUGGAUUACACGUGCUCCCUCUCUAAAGUUUUUAAUUCAUUUGUCUUCAUUAUAAUUUUCUCAGACAUCUUGGCGUGUAUAACUGUCACACAAGAGCCAAUCACAGCUGGUAUGUAAACUGUAAAUGUGAAGAUCUGAUACUAUAAAUCGAAUAGUAAUACUGUCUGUAUUUCUGAAGUAUGCUGUAUGUGAAGGGCUGCUAGUAAUGUUCAUGAACUAUAGGCUAUAACUCAAGAUUAGUUAUGUCAAUGCUAAAUAAAAACAGGUAAUUAUUUUCAUUUCAGUUGGUGUCUCUGACCCCUGCUCCAGCUACAGUGUGCUGGAUAAUCCAUGGAGAGUUAGCAGUAAUCGAUAUGCUUCUGUCAUAUAUUGUGACCAGGAUGUCACCUGGAGCGGCUGGUAUCGUUUCUUCAUUAACAACAUAAGCACUCAUAUCCCAGAAACAUGUGUUGACAUCUAUAGCUGUGGCACAAAUCUCCCAAUGUGGAUUAAUGCUAGACACCCAACAGUUGGGGAUGGAAUCGUCUCUAUAUUAGUCUGCACUACCUGGAACAAUAACUGCUGCUUUCAUAUGCAUUACAUUAGAGUCAAAGCCUGCCCGGACAAUUAUUACGUCUAUGAGUUGGUUCGUCCAUUUGGCUGUCAUUUUGCAUACUGUGCAGUUCCUCCUAACAUCAGCAGCACUGUUACAGUCGCACCAGAGACGAGCUCAGCUGAUAUAAAUAUAACACUGCAAGAAGGAUGCACCAGCCAGACCUCUGGAGGAUGUUUACAAAAUCUUCUUGAACAGAUCGAGAAUAUUACAGCUCAAGUGCUUCCUUUGAGUACUGUGACAAACAUUUUGACGGUGGCCUUCAAUGCUUCAGAAAAGAUUUUAGAGUCAUCAUCAUCAGCAAACCCAGCUGAACUAGCCUCCUUUGGAAACCGUGUGUUAAAAACCAGCGAGAAACUAAUUUCUACAUUAGUGAAGCCGACAGACACUAAUGACAGUGUCAGUUUUACUCUUGCUGCUGUAGGUAUGUGGAGGCAUUAUUAAACUAUUAUUGAUGACUGAGAUUAUAUACAGUAUGAUGUCAGUGACUUUAUUUUGUCUAGAGAGCAGCAGAGGGUCUCGUCAAAUUGACACAGAC